rnacentral:rRNA from 1 species
UACGUAGGGGGCAAGCGUUAUCCGGAAUUACUGGGCGUAAAGCGCACGCAGCGGUUCGCCAAGUUUGGAGUGACAGUUGUUCGGCUCAACCGACAAAGGACUUCAAAAACUGGUGAACUUGAGGACGAGAGAGGAACAUGGAACUCCAGGUGUAGUGGUGAAAUGCGUAGAGAUCGGGAGGAACACCUGUGGCGAAAGCGGCGCACUGGACCAUAACUGACGCUGAU